rnacentral:rRNA from 1 species
AUAUGUGUCCCUACCACCCUGAACAUGCCCGAUCGUGUCUGAUCUUGGAAGCUAAGCAGGGUCAGACCUGGUUAGUACUUGGAUGGGAGACCACCUGGGAAUACCGGGUGCUGUAGGCU